AAUUCCACAGAAGCCUGCUUGGUGAAUUGUUGGGCUUAGAUGAAGCUUUGCUUUAUGCAUGCUUAAGACAUUGCUCCCAAAGAAGGUGCUAAGCAUCUUUAAAAUGCAUGCACCCCAAACCCCUCCAUCUGCCACUCAGGUGCUCCUCUGAAAGCGUGACGCUGGGUCUCCCCAACUCCCUCUUCAUUAUCAUUCAUUAGAGAGGCCGGAAGCAGGCUGGGACAAAGAAGGAUCCAAUCAAGGAGACAUGAAUUCCGUGAACAUCAAUGAAUGUUCCUUCCUCAGUCAGACAAUGUAUUCCGGCACCUGGAGCAAGCCAAUGUGUGAGUGCUCUUUGACAAGCAGACGUCUCUGCCUAAGACCUUUCCUUACCCAGUCGGGAGAUCAUUGGUACAAUUGCAGGCUGCAGUCUGAGGAGAAGGGAUUCUCUGAUAUCCAUCUGUUCCAAAGCCACAGGAAGACUGGAAGCAGCACUUCCCUCUCCUAUGAGUCCUAUGAGUCCUAUGAGCCAGUUUCUCCUGAACAUCUCUGCUGAACACUUCCUAGCUGCUCACCACCCUGAAGUGCCUCUUUUCAGCAGGGGUGGAGGUGACACAGGCGUCACAAGGAUGGUCUUUGUUCAAUGUGAAGACACCUGUUACACUAAAGCGUGUCUGUCCACCCUCCGGCACACACCCAAAGCCACAUUUGUAUUAAAGAUUCUGCAGGACUGACAGUCUGAUCAGAGAUGUGAUUGUGGGAGGUUGGAAUGUUGCAGCUCAAGAAUCAAAUCAUCUUGGGCUAUCUUUACCCACCCACCCGUCGGCCAUUCAAUAUGCACCUUUGUCUGACCUAACAUCCCUUUGAGUGUUGGGUAAAAGUUUUAGAAUGUAUUUACACACCACUAGCUUCUACCAGACUGAAGGCUGUGGAAGACAUCAGAGUUUAUCAGACAGUCUUGUUCACAUUUCUGCAGCCAGCUCACCUGUAGAUCAUUUGAUUCCUUUAUUUAUAACUUCCUUUGCCUCUAUGACUGUAAAAGUUCAUGCAAUUGCCCUCAUGGUGGAACAUGUUAUUCAGGACCAUCUAAAGCAGGUUCCCAGGCCAUGGCCACUUAGAGUAAAUGAAUUCUUACUCCGUCUAGUUGAGAAGCUCUGGGUUGUUCGCUUGUGGGCGAACAUGGCUGUCUUAUGGGAAAACAUCAGCCUUGUCACACCUUGAACCAAAUCCCAGCUCUGUAGUCAUCAGCUCCAUGACCCCAGACUCUCUCUGUGUCACCGCCUUCCAUGGUCAAAGACCAUUGUGAAAUGCACUCGCUUACGGAGACUCUGAGAGUAAUGAUGAAGUUAUGUGAUCCCCAUCACAAAGUUGGCCCAGGACCAGCAGGGCCAGCAUCUCCUAGAAGCUUGUCAGGCAUGCAGAUCGAAGGCCCAUCACAGACCCAGAGAAUAUAGAUGUAAAGAGGAAGAGGCAGAAGGUGGCAAGUUAGCUUUAGCAAGUUCCGUGGGUGAUUCUGAUGCUCAGGAGGAAGUGAGGACCACUGCUCAGGUGAAUGACAAUCUCAGUAACGACACCUGCCACGUCCUGUUAGCAGAAAAGUAUAUACCAUAUGGAUUCACUUUUUCACCCCAAAUAUCAUUCACUUUAUUCAUGUUUGAAGUCUCUUUGGCCUAGGAGCUCCAGUAUGCAGACUUUAAUCAGAAAUAUCCAGAAAGAUGCAUUUGAAGGUUUGCUUGUACCCAUAAAGACCUUGAGGGGAUGGGGAGAGAAAUACUGUAAACCACAGGAAGAGUCUAGCUCUCUGAAGAACUAGCCCUUGGACUAUCUUUCUUUUAGAAAGGACUUCAUUUUAUUGAUAGAAGAAAUAGUUUUGCUUUUGGAAGCACUAGAUAGCACUUUGUUCCCCAGAGACCUGGAAAGCGCACGCACACACACAUACACACACACACACACACACACACACACACACAACCACACACAGACAAACACUCACACACUAAAAAAAAUCACAGUGUGAGUGCUUCUUAGUGCAAAGCACACUACGGGCAUGUUUAUAAAAAUGAAUUACGUUUCACAACAAUUUCUA